UAUAUUUUUUGAAACUAUUUUAUUAUAUCUUAUAUAAAUGAAUCUACUUUAUUCUACAUAUUGUAUCUCUAACACAAGCAUCGUAUCUUCAAACAUGAAACUCUAAAUUUUGACAUUUCACGAUCGUCAAGAAUUCAAGGUUAGUGUUUCUCUAAAUUGUACCCAGGGCAAAGCUUUACAUAAAACAAACAAUCAUUGCAGUACUCCAACUGUCUCCAGCACAUCUCUCUUCUUCUUUUUUUUUUGGAAAAAAGUCUACAACACAUCGUCAAAAAGAAAAAUUAAGUGUUCCAUUGUUAUCGAUCUUAGUUUUGCUGCAACAAUAAUAUAAGUUCAUGUUUUUAUGAAGGAUUAUUUUCACCCAUGUGAAUCCAUAAUCAAUAUUAUUAUUACCUUUUCUACGCUUAUUAAUAUGAAUUUAGAUAUCAAUUUUUCUGUGUUUCAAAAAAAUAUAUAUCAAUUUUUCUAUGAGUUUUUGUCUAUUAAAUUUUAAAAGAUUCUUUUAUAUAUUUUCUAUAAAUUAAUUUAACAAUAAAAAAAGAGAAACAUGGAUAACUACCCACGUUUUAUCAUACAAACUAAUAUAAAAAAAAACACAAAUUUCCUAAUUAUUCUUAACUUACCACCAUCACCGCACGAUCAAUCAUGAAGUUAGUUUACAUAUUAUUAUUUUUUGAACAAAGUUAGUUUAUAUAUUAUUCUCUUUAUCUUUUUCACUAUCGUUUCAUCGCUCUCUCUUUUUCACCAUCAUUUCAUCUCUCUCUCUCUCUUUUCACCAUUGCCAAUUCUAAAACACUCUUGAUGCAGGGUUAUGUUUUGUUUUCUAUCAAUUUUCUUAGAAUAAUUCUUUUCUUCUUCUCUAAUACAUAAUCCUUUCUAUCUUUCUGCAGAACUUAGGUUGAAGAUGCCAUUGGAGUCUACUCAUAUUUCCCAUCUCAAUUCAUCUAAAAAGAAUGGAAAAUCAGAGUGCGGUCUGUCGAAUUUUGGGACUACUAUCCCAAACAUAAACUUGAAGUUGUUCUCUGGAUGAAAGCUAUCCUUGUGGAUGAAAAGAUGUCAAUUGAAUUUUCUCAGCUUAGUUCUUCGAAAAACAAAUAAAAAUCAAAGCAUUGUCAACAACAUUGAGGGCAAAAUAAAGGCUAGGUCAUCUUCAUACCACCGAAGAACGUGAAAAUGACAUUGAUUUGCAGAUUUAUCUGCAGAUGAAGAUAGUAGCACUCGAAGGGAAAAUAGUUGUUUCAAAACUAUUUGGAUUAGUCUUUUAGUUUCUUUAGUUACGUGUAUUUUUUUGUUACUAAAGUCAAUUAUUUUGUUGUUGUCAAUAUAUAUUUCCAAAAUAACACUUAACUAUAAUUGAUUUAGUACAUGUAAGCAUUGAGACUUGACUACAUAUGUAAAUGUAACUGUUUUUAUACAUACAAUGUUUAGAUUUAUGUUUUACUUGGACGAUAUACAUAGAAGUAUUUUUGACCGAGACAGUAUUAGCUUUGAAUACUUGUUAUGGACACAGGACAAACUUUCGGGUUUUAUGAUUUUAAUUUGAGUUUUUCCUUGUUUAGAUUUAUGUUUUACUUGGACGAUAUACAUAGAAGUAUUUUUGACCGAGACAGUAUUAGCUUUGAAUACUUGUUAUGGACACAGGACAAACUUUCGGGUUUUAUGAUUUUAAUUUGAGUUUAUCCUUUCAGGUAACUAGUUUUUGAGGAGACCAAACCUAAUGAAAUAUUUCUUGAAAUAGACAUGUGAGAACUUUUUCCGAUAUAUGAGCAUUUACGAUAGUCAUAAACGUUGACUGUGUUUUGACUUUUGACUUGUCAACUAAUAAAAUUAUCAAUUUUAUUUUUUAACUAUUUAUCAGUGUCUAUUAGCAUAUAAUUAUGUAACACUCUGUUCUAAAGUUUGUCUAAGACUUUGUAAAUUUGUUUUAAUCUCAAUAAAAUAACUCUCCGUAAAAAAUCAUCUUAAAAUUAUUUUGACAUUUUAUUAAUAUUUUAACACUCGCUCAAUAUCUUAAACAUAUUAUCAUAU